rnacentral:rRNA from 1 species
GACGAACGCUGGCGGCGUGCCUAAUACAUGCAAGUUGAGCGCUGAAGGUUGGUACUUGUGCCAACUGGAUGAGCAGCGAACGGGUGAGUAACGCGUGGGGAAUCUGCCUUUGAGCGGGGGACAACAUUGGGAAACGAAUGCUAAUACCGCAUAAAAACUUUAAACACAAGUUUUAAGUUUGAAAGAUGCAAUUGCAUCACUCAAAGAUGAUCCCGCGUUGUAUUAGCUAGUUGGUGAGGUAAAGGCUCACCAAGGCGAUGAUACAUAGCCGACCUGAGAGGGUGGUCGGCCACAUUGGGACGGAGACGCGGCCCAAACUCCUACGGGAGGCAGCAGGAGGGAAUCUUCGGCAAUGGACGAAAGUCUGACCGAGCAACGCCGCGGGAGUGAAGAAGGUUUUCGGAUCGUAAAACUCUGUUGGUAGAGAAGAACGUUGGUGAGAGUGGAAAGCUCAUCAAGUGACGGUAACUACCCAGAAAGGGACGGCUAACUACGUG